UACGGAGGGUGCGAGCGUUGUCCGGAAUCACUGGGCGUAAAGGGCGCGUAGGUGGCCUGUGGAAGUCUGCGGUGAAAGCCCGGCGCUCAACGCCGGGUCGGCCGUGGAUACUCUCGGGCUCGAGCUUACUAGAGGCAGAUGGAAUUCCGGGUGUAGCGGUGGAAUGCGUAGAGAUCCGGAAGAACACCGGUGGCGAAGGCGGUCUGCUGGGGUAAUGCUGACACUGAUGCGCGACAGCGUGGGGGAGCAAACAGG
rnacentral:rRNA from 1 species